CAGUACAAGUAAUACAUAUCACUCAGGUGAAUUCCAGCAGGCGAGUCCAUUGCACCAUAGUGCUUCAUUGGUGAGGUGAUGUCAAGGAAUAUUUUAUGCUUGAUUGCACUAAUGGAGUGGGCUAAAUCAAGAAGUAUAGGUUUGAAAGAUUACUUGACACUCAGAAAUCAGCAAGG
rnacentral:lncRNA from 1 species